CGUGUAGGCGGUUUCGUAUGUCUGACGUGAAAGCCCCGGGCUCACCCCGGGAAGUGCGUUGGAAACUGCGAGACUAGAGUCCCGGAGAGGAAGGUGGAAUUCCAGGUGUAGCGGUGAAAUGCGUAGAUAUCUGGAAGAACACCGGUGGCGAAGGCGGCCUUCUGGACGGUGACUGACGCUGAGACGCGAAAGCGUGGGGAGCAAACA
rnacentral:rRNA from 1 species